GACGAACGCUGGCGGCGUGCUUAACACAUGCAAGUCGAACGGAAAGGCCCUGCUUUUGUGGGGUGCUCGAGUGGCGAACGGGUGAGUAACACGUGAGUAACCUGCCCUUGACUUUGGGAUAACUUCAGGAAACUGGGGCUAAUACCGGAUAGGAGCUCCUGCUGCAUGGUGGGGGUUGGAAAGUUUCGGCGGUUGGGGAUGGACUCGCGGCUUAUCAGCUUGUUGGUGGGGUAGUGGCUUACCAAGGCUUUGACGGGUAGCCGGCCUGAGAGGGUGACCGGCCACAGUGGGACUGAGAUACGGCCCAGACUCCUACGGGAGGCAGCAGUGGGGAAUAGUGCACAAUGGGCGGAAGCCUGAUGCAGCAACGCCGCGUGCGGGAUGACGGCCUUCGGGGUGUAAACCGCUUGCGCCUGUGACGAAGCGUGAGUGACGGUAAUGGGUAAAGAAGCACCGGCUAACUACGU
rnacentral:rRNA from 1 species